UGCGAACUCCUACGGGAGGCAGCAGUGGGGAAUUUUGGACAAUGGGCGAAAGCCUGAUCCAGCAAUGCCGCGUGAGUGAAGAAGGCCUUCGGGUUGUAAAGCUCUUUUGUCAGGGAAGAAACGGUGAGGGCUAAUAUCUCUUGCUAAUGACGGUACCUGAAGAAUAAGCACCGGCUAACUACGUGCCAGCAGCCGCGGUAAUACGUAGGGUGCAAGCGUUAAUCGGAAUUACUGGGCGUAAAGCGUGCGCAGGCGGUUUUGUAAGUCUGAUGUGAAAUCCCCGGGCUCAACCUGGGAAUUGCAUUGGAGACUGCAAGGCUAGAAUCUGGCAGAGGGGGGUAGAAUUCCACGUGUAGCAGUGAAAUGCGUAGAUAUGUGGAGGAACACCGAUGGCGAAGGCAGCCCCCUGGGUCAAGAUUGACGCUCAUGCACGAAAGCGUGGGGAGCAAACAGGAUUAGAAACCCUUGUAGUCCAGAUG
rnacentral:rRNA from 1 species